UAACCUGGAAGAGGACGCGGACGCCAUUAUCUUGAUGGGAUUGGCAAGGUUUUAGAAGAGGUCUGGGCUGGGAGAUAUGGUGGUGGCCAGUUUAGGCCACGGUCGGCUUCCGUCUUGGGGUCUAAUUGGAAGGGGACGAUGAAAACAACGAAGAAGGAAGGGCAAAGGCUGAAUUGGAAUGUCCUAGAUAUUCAGAGCCACAGGACAGAAAGACCCUGAGUGCAAAGAGACACCCCCUGAGCACAAAUGCCCUGAACUGUUACCUUGGUAUUUAUUUGACACCAACUAGCAUUAACUUAGGUAUAACCUAUCAGGAAAAAAAAUGAGUAAAAGCAAGAAUAAAUGAAGUGGAGAUCAGUUUCCAGCAGGCACUUUCAUCUAAUAAAAGAUACCUUCUAAAUUUGAA